ensembl:lncRNA
AAUGGACCAGACCUUAACCUAUCUGCACCUGAGGUUGGUACUCCUGAUCUUGAUGUGAAUCUUCCAAAAGCUGGGGUUGAUGUCGAUGUACCCACAGCAGAUGUUGACAUCAAUGCUCCAAAAGGAAAGCUGAAAUUCCCAACACUCAAAAAGUUUAACAUGUCCAGUCCAAAAGUAAAAUCUCCUGAUGUUGACAUUGCUGCUGAUGUAAGUGGACCAGAUCUGAAUCUAUCUGCACCUGGGGUUGGUACUCCUGAUGUUGACAUGAGUCUACCAAAUGCUGGGGUUGAUGUAGAUGUUCCAGGCAUCAACGCUGAAGUUGAGGGCUCCAAGCAUAAGGUAAAAUGGCCCUUCAAAUGGAGAAAAUCCACUGAAUUAAAGGAUGCGGAUAUUAACAUUAAAGCACCAGAAGUAGAUGGUACCACUGCAGAAAUUAAACUCCCCAAAAAUAUACCAUUGUUCAAGUCUCACCGCCUACCUGACAGCAACAUUGACAGUGUCUUACAAGAACUCACUGGAGCGGUUGACCUCAGUACUGACUCUAAAAAAUCAACUAAUGACGCGGUUGUCUCGGUCUCCUCAGUCAAGACAAAUCUUAAAGCUUCUUCUCCGUCUGUUGGGGUCAAUGGACAGACAGCUAGUGUAGAUAUCCGAGAAAGGUUGAGAUUGUCUAAUACACGUACUACAAGCCCAGAUUUUGGCAUAUCUUCAGAACCAGGCACCCCUACAAAAGUGAAUAGAGGAACAUUUAAAGUCACAAAGCCUGACGCUGAUAAGGACUACCCAGUAAUUGAUACAACUAGCAAUGAAGAUGAUGCCAAGAUUGCCCUCAGCUUGAACAACAUGCUUGGUUUAAACUUUAAAUAAAACCAAGAGCCUUGUUAGUGUAAUUCCACACCCACUGCAUAGUGCAAAUGUAAAAUAUGUAUAAAAAAAAACAAAAAACAAAAACAAAAAAAUAUAUAUAUAAUAGUUUACUUUUAAUAUAAUAGUUUACUUUUAAAAUUGGUAGAGUAUUGACAGAAGAA